AUUGAACGCUAGCGGGAUGCUUUACACAUGCAAGUCGAACGGCAGCGCGGACUUCGGUCUGGCGGCGAGUGGCGAACGGGUGAGUAAUGUAUCGGAACGUGCCCAGUAGCGGGGGAUAACUACGCGAAAGCGUAGCUAAUACCGCAUACGCCCUACGGGGGAAAGCAGGGGAUCGUAAGACCUUGCACUAUUGGAGCGGCCGAUAUCGGAUUAGCUAGUUGGUGAGGUAACGGCUUACCAAGGCGACGAUCCGUAGCUGGUUUGAGAGGACGACCAGCCACACUGGGACUGAGACACGGCCCAGACUCCUACGGGAGGCAGCAGUGGGGAAUUUUGGACAAUGGGGGCAACCCUGAUCCAGCCAUCCCGCGUGUGCGAUGAAGGCAUUCGGGUUGUAAAGCACUUUUGGCAGGAAAGAAACGUCGCGGGCUAAUACCCCGUGGAACUGACGGUACCUGCAGAAUAAGCACCGGCUAACUACGUG
rnacentral:rRNA from 1 species